CGGGUGAGUAAUGUAUGGGGAUCUGCCUGAUGGCGGGGGAUAACUACUGGAAACGGUAGCUAAUACCGCAUAAUGUCUACGGACCAGAGCGGGGGACCUCCGGGCCUCGCGCCAUCAGAUGAACCCAUAUGGGAUUAGCUUGUAGGUAAGGUAACGGCUUACCUAGGCGACGAUCCCUAGCUGGUCUGAGAGGAUGAUCAGCCACACUGGGACUGAGACACGGCCCAG
rnacentral:rRNA from 1 species